CCUAAGCCCCGGUAAACGGCGGCCGUAACUAUAACGGUCCUAAGGUAAGCGCCCGGACGUGCCCGGGCAUUGCCCCUGCCGGAAGUGAUUCCGGUAGUGCAGCUGGCCAAAUGCUGGAAACCCCGUGAAUCCGGCGGUACUCGUUGGCGGUCUCACCCUAUUCGUAAGGUGGGAUCGUGGACAGUGACAAACCGUCCGGUGCGGACGAUCAGCAGGAAAGGCCAUUACCUGUGGAGUGGGUCGUCGGCUUCGUCGACGGCGUGUCCGUUGUUCGGAGAGCACCCACUCAGAACGGCCAAGGCUUGCGAUAUGCGAGUUUUGCUGUCGUCGUGCGCUUGAUGUCAAAGGCCGUCCAUCUGUCGAUGGAGGGUUUGAGUCAGAUUGCAGCGAUCGCAGAGACGAUGAACCGUCGGAAGCCGUCGCAGUUGGUGGAAUCCUCAGAGGCCAUACGCCAGCCAUCUCGCACCGACUGUGAGAUGAAGAUAUGGUCCUAGCCCCAUGGCGACAUGGGGGUUCCUAGAGCGAAAUUCCUUGUCGGGUAAGUUCCGACCUGCACGAAUGGCGUAACGACUUUCCUACUGUCUCAACCACAGGCUCGGCGAAAUUGAAGUACGAGUAAAGAUGCUCGUUAGCUGCACCAGGACGGAAAGACCCCGUGGACCUUCACUACAGUUUGAUGUUGAUUUGUGUCACAUGUUGUGUAGGAUAGGUGGGAGACUUGGAAGCUUCAGCGCCAGCUGGGGUGGAGUCACCGUUGAAAUACCACCCUGCAUGUGUCGGGAAUCUAACCCACGUCCGUGAUCCGGAUGGGGGACAGCGUCAGAUGGGUAGUUUGACUGGGGCGGUCGCCUCCUAAACGGUAACGGAGGCGCCCAAAGGUUCCCUCAGGCUGGUUGGCAAUCAGCCGUUGAGUGCAAUGGCACAAGGGAGCUUGACUGCGAGACCUACAGGUCGAGCAGGUGCGAAAGCAGGGCAUAGUGAUCCGGCGGUUGCGUGUGGAAGCGCCGUCGCUCAACGGAUAAAAGGUACCCCGGGGAUAACAGGCUCAUCUUCCCCAAGAGUCCAUAUCGACGGGAAGGUUUGGCACCUCGAUGUCGGCUCGUCGCAUCCUGGGGCUGAAGUAGGUCCCAAGGGUUGGGCUGUUCGCCCAUUAAAGCGGUACGCGAGCUGGGUUUAGAACGUCGCGAGACAGUUCGGUCCCUAUCCGGUGUAGCCGUAGGAAACUUGAGGAAGGCUGUCCCUAGUACGAGAGGACCGGGACGGACGCAGCUCUCGUGUGCCAGUUGUCCUGCCAAGGGCACGGCUGGUUAGCGACCUGCGGAAGAGAUAAGCGCUGAAAGCAUCUAAGUGCGAAGCUUGUUCCAAGAUGAGGUUUCCCACUGGGUCAACCAGGUAAGGCCCGUGGUAGACGACCACGUUGAUAGGCCGGAGGUGUACGCGCAGCAAUGCGUUGAGCCGACCGGUACUAAUCGGCCGAGGGCUUGGUUUC
rnacentral:rRNA from 1 species